rnacentral:pre_miRNA from 1 species
AAUAACUCUAUUUUUCAGUUUUUUGAUAAAAUAUUUUGACUCUUUGUCUUAUUUGAAAAUUUUUUGCGAUCAAUAUUUUUAUUAUUACUGGAUGAUAAAAUAUGAAUAGUACUUUACGCGUGACUAAUUUUUUAAAUUUUUUUUAUAAAUUUUUUAAAUAAGAUGAAUAGUUAAACAUUGCACAUGAAAAAAC